ensembl:rRNA 5S_rRNA 5S ribosomal RNA
GUCGGCGACCAUACCAGGUUGAAAACACCGGUUCUCGUCCGAUCACCGAAGUUAAGCAACCUUGGGCCCGGUUAGUACUUGCAUGGGUGACCGGCUGGGAAUACCGGGUGUUGCCGGCA